GUCGGGAUACUGCCCGGUGAAGAUGGUCGGACGGCUGGGCACGCA
rfam:Mycobacterium sp. GA-2829 GCID_NTM_00013_NODE_12.ctg_1, whole genome shotgun sequence.